rnacentral:misc_RNA from 1 species
UCCCACCCCCUUCCUAGGCUGUCGGCCCCCUCGGCGGUGGUGGUCGUCGCCGGCCAAUCGGAGGACACGUCCCGACGCCGAAGGCGACACGGUCGCUGUCGACGCCGCGCCGCGUUGUCGUGUGUGCGGACCACGAGGCCAGCCGCAUCCUCCGGAAGAUCGUGGGCGCGCGCGAACUGUCGUCGACUCCCGCGCCUCCUCGUAAAAGAUGUCGUGCAGGUCAUCGCUCUGAGUGGACUGUGACGGCAUGACAGUCAUGUGACACCUGAAGGACAACCGUGUCAGGCGGCAGUGGUGGACUGUCUGCCUGUGUGCGCGUGCUGCUCGGAAAGUGAGACUGACUGUGUUUAGUGCUGACUGUAUCACGGAAAGGAGUCGCCACGAACAUUGCGGACCGGUCCGGUGUGUCCGAGUGCUAUGCUGACGCAUCCUUGGCUCCAGUUCUUGCAGCCACCCAUCGUUCCACCUCUACAUGCAUCGCCGGCCGUGUCAGCUGCCGCCGUUAAUGGCCCUGCCGGUGCAGCGUUGGCCGAAGCGCGGACGCAGCCCAGCCCCGCGUCGUCGCCGUCCGACGGAGCAGCAACGCACCGCCGGACGCGCGCCAGCAUGGAUGUGGCGAUCCGAUGCACCAGACCCGGAUGUGGCUGUGAGUGCUUCACGCCCGGCAAGGGAGGAGGCCACCGGCUCUGCGACUCCUGUCAGCACGGCUGGGUAGCGCACGCUCUGGACAAGUUGUGUGACCCUCGCCGGUCGGCCAUGGUUGUGGCGGCGGGGUCGGCGGCGGUGGCCGGCGCUGGCGGCGAGCCGGUGCAGGCGAGCAGCGCGUUCGACAUGGCCUCGCUGGUGCUGUACGGAAGCCAGGCGGUGCCCGUGCGCCUCAAGAUACUCCUCGACCGGCUGCUCAGCGUCCUGCCGCACGACGACGUCAUACGCGUCCUGCACGGGUUCGGCUGGACUUACGAGGACUACGUGCGCGGCUACAUCUUGCAGGACACGCACGGUAUUGUCCUCGAGCGCUGGAAUCUGGCGAGCCGGGACGAGGAGCCGCUCAUCAUCCAGCAGUUUCUUCGGUUUGCCGAGACACGCGCCUUGGCCCACCAUUUCCUGACCAGCGACGCCGCCCCGCUGGCAAGCUCCGCCGACGGCCCUCCUCCCGGCCAGCCGGACUCGGACAUCAAGAAAUUCCUGGAGCGAAGUUGUCGCUCUGGGAUCGUGCCGCCCAAGCCGUCGGGUCUGUCGCUCUUCGGUGGCAAGUUCACCACGGCCACCUCUUCGAGCGACACGUCGUCUCUGCUGGCCUCGCGAGGCACCAUGUCCGUGAACAGGGCACCGUCGCUGCGCCAUCAUCACCACCAUCAUCACCCGCCUUCGAGCGUUAGCUCGGGACAGUCCGCAUCGCCCCCAGCGGUUGGCUGCUCUCCCGCCGCCAGCCCGCUCACGGCGCUAUCCUCGUCCUCGCCGCUGAACAAGUUGCAGAGCAUGCAGCCGUACGACUUCCGGCAAACGGAUCGCCGGCCCACAAGCCCUGACGCUGCUAGUGGCUUCGUCACGGACAGCGCCCGAAGCACAGGCGCCACGCUGAUGCACGGUCACCACCAUCACACUCAACACAACAACAACAAUAACAACAACAGCAGCAGUCCCAAGACGCCGCUGUCGUCGCCCACGCACAACCACAACAGCUUUUCGGCGCCGUUCCCUAACCACAGUUCCGACCUGAGCGUGUCCGAAGGUCCAUCGGACGACGAAGCCGGCGACGCCGGCGCCAUCAACCUGUCGCUUGGUGUCGGUUCCAUGGACUCCGUGUACGCGGCGCGCAAAGUGAAGCACCUCCGCAAGUCCGCCAACCCCAUGAAGCGUCGCUGGAAUCCGAUGGUUUUGAGCACUCUCACUACGAACCCGGCUACGGGCAAGCGCAGGGUACAGUGCCACGUGUGCCUGAAGACAUUCUGCGACAAGGGCGCGCUGAAGAUCCACUUCAGUGCGGUGCACCUGCGGGAGAUGCACAAGUGCACCGUGGAAGGGUGCAACAUGAUGUUCAGCUCCCGCAGGAGUCGGAACAGGCACAGUGCCAACCCCAACCCAAAGCUACACACACCCAACCUGAGGCGGAAGAUAAGCCCGCACGACGGAAGAACGGCGAACCCUUUUCCGCUGCUUCCGCCGUCAACGUUGCUCAACUUCAACAACGCCAACGCAUCGGGCAUCGUGCCGCCAUCAUCCCUUGCAAGCGCGCUUCACGACAAGCUCGGUGCCGUUCAGGAGAAGCUGGCGUCGCUUUGCUCGACGCAGUCCAUGCUUGGUGCCGGUGGUCCACUCCCGGGUGACUGCGCCCUGAGGCUCACCACGAUGCGAAAAAGCAAGCAUGAGGAGAGAGCGCCGUCAGUGGAACGGCCGGACGACCGAUCACCCCGUCGCAGGGAUAUGGGAGGCGUCAACCUUUCCUUGGAGAAAGAGGACAGAGUCACGCAAUCCCGGCCAAGCCCUCCAGUGCUGGGCGAAAACAAGGGAGUGCGGAAGCGCAAAGCUCUCAACCCAACAAAGGUCGCCGCAGUCACCAGCGAUGAUGAUCUUCAGUACGCCACUUCCGACGAGUCUUCGAGCAACACGUACAUUGACCAAAAUGGCCUCAUGGAGGAGUCCAAGUCAGACGAUGACAUGGACGAUGUGGACGACAUAUCCACGGACGGUCAAGACGACUCUAAAGACUUCGACGUCGACGACGACCUCGACGACAAGGAUACCGACGGCCAUAUGACGCCGUCUCCGCCGCCGAUCAAGUUCAAAACCGAGCGCGAGGUUCCCCACUGGAACUUCGAAGUGGAGCAGGGCAAGAUCGGUGGCGUCAUAGCUAUCAAGAAAGAAGAUGAGAAGCCAGAGACAAUUCCGAGCAGCAAUAGCGAGCCGCGCGCCUCUCCCGUCGUCACCAAGAGAGCCUCUUCGGUUGAAGACUUGUCCACCAAGAAGGACGGAGAGAGGUCGUCGCCGGCGGCGAGCGUUAAAACAGAGGACUUGGCCGAGAACCCGCUGCGGCACCUGGAGUCGCUGUCGCUGGGCGCCUUCGCGGGCCUCGUACCCACCGCCCCGCGCAGCCUCUCGUCGGGCGGCGUGUCGUUCCACGCUCCCGGACUGGGCCUGGCGGACGUGCCUCGUGACGUGCACGACCCGUGUCUGCGCGACUGCUCGCCGCCCUCUUCAGAUCAGCACAUGUCCUCGCUGCUGCCGGUGUACCGCGACGCGGCGCUCGUGGGUCCCGGGCUGGAGAUUCCGGUGGACAAAGAAAAUCCCCGGCGGUGCACAGCCUGCGGGAAGGUGUUCCAGAACCAUUUCGGCGUGAAGACGCACUACCAAAACGUGCACCUGAAGCUGAUGCACAAAUGCACAGUGGAAGGCUGCAACGCUGCCUUCCCGUCGAAGCGGAGCAGGGACCGCCAUUCGGCGAACCUUAACCUCCACCGCAAGCUGCUGUCUACGUCGUCCUCCGAGAAGGGAGGCGCCUCCCCGUUCCUCGACAAGGCGCUGUUCCCGUACCCGCCGUCGGACUUCUUCACCAGACUCUACGACCCGCAGGGCCUGCCGCUCAACCUGGCCGACGUGUACCACAGGCUGCCCGAAGGGUUCGCUCUGCCACCCAGUUUCCCGAUGGGGCCGUUCCACCCGCUCCUGGCGCCUCCGCCGCCAUCAACGACCGGGGCCGAAGACGACGACGACGACGAUUCGCGGCACGGAAGUCGCGGAGCCAUGUCGCCGGCCAGCUCCGGUGGCGGCGGCGUGGGCGACUCGCGCAGCGCUUCGAGCCCGCAACGGGGCACCUGUCACGACGACGAAGACGGCGCCACGGACAGAGAAGACCGCGCCUCUUCGCCCGUCGACGAAACGCCGGUCGCUGUGGCGGCAACGUAACGUCGGCCUCUCACCGACCGCGCUCCUCAGGACACUUAAGAUUUGAUGAGUGCGCGGUCCCCGUCGCAUUGACUUUUCUUUUUUUUUUCUCCUCCCGGCCCCUUCCUGUACAGCACCGCGGGGCGACAGUAUUCAGCAUCUCUCAUGUCCCACAUCCCGUUUCCCCCGCAUCUUGUUCACGGUACACGGAAAGCGCUCACCGGAGCUCGCGCGCCUCGACGUGCACCUCGCUCACCGAGUGUACGUGCCACCGGCGAACCUGUCACCGGCGUUCGUGUCACAGGCGUCGUCGCGUAAUUUGUGGCAAUAGUUUCGCGCUAUCUGUUAAUCCGAUUUUUUCUAUCUCACAUCUAGGCAUGCGAGUUGCUUGGCCUUUCUCUCAAUCUAAGCCCCUUGGCCGUCCUCAGUAUUUGUGCCCGGCGAACGCGCCGGAGUUACACAUGUCGGCGCGCAGCGCGCUUUAUGUCCGUGCAAAACCCUCUCGACACUG